rnacentral:misc_RNA from 1 species
GAAAUUAUCAAAGCAAAGUCUUUUUUUUUGUUGUUGUUAAUUCAACUUAAAGUCUGCGCUUUGGAUUUGGAGGUUUUGCAGAUUUAAAUUUCUGCUCCUCUUAAAUGCAUUAGCUGGAUCUCUAUGAACUUGGUUCCACUCGGCGUGAUAAGUUAUCACUCGUCGAGGACACCCGUAAAAAAGGUGGCCAGGAUUUUUCAAGGAUGAGCCGCUUCUAAAUAGUCCAUUGACUUGGACAAAAUUUAUGAUCUGAUCUCAAAUCAGGUAGGACUACCCGCUGAACUUAA